GGAAUGGCGGAGAGAGGAGCAGGGUCUGAGCUCAGGAUUUCAGUUCCAAAAUCCCAGAUGCCUCUCCUUGCUGUGUGACCUCUGGUGAGAUAUCUGACCUCUCUGCGCUUCAUCUGUAAUUAUGGAAAUAAAAUUCCCGCCCCUGCCACCACUCGACCCAGCCCGCCAAAGGCUCCUAAACCCAAAAUUGAGAUCGUUGAUUCAGGCUCGCUGUGCAAACGCUAACGCCCUGUUCACAGCCUCCGCUCCAGCGGGCGGGGUGCUAGAAGUCGCCCCAAUAUUCUGCUGACUCGAGGAGCUCGGGAAGCCAGACCGGCCAGAGAAACCAAAGAACCUAAUGCUCUGGCCGACCCCACCCCGUUCCCGCCUGGUGCGAAGAAUUAGGGGUUCCUCGGCCCCCAGGUCUGGCCCCAGCCUCUGGUCCGAAGACGCGCAGCCCGCCCCCCCCCCCCCCGCGUCCCGCGCGUGGGGUCCUGGCCGCGCUCUGCAGAGGCGGCGCAGCGCGACUCGCUGGCUUCCCCUGGUUCCCACGCCCUCCCGGCCAGCGACCGGGAGAAGGCCGUCUGCACCCGGGUUCUGAGCUCCACUGAGCCCGCGUUUUCAGCUCGCCACCCCUUUCUCCGCGCGAGCUCCUCUGCCCUCGCCCUGCAGGCUACAUCCCGAGCCCGCACCGCGCGCCGCUUGUCUGCGUGGCCCGAGCGUCUCUGCGACACCGCGUGUGGGCUGCCGCGACUUUGCGCGUAGAGACCAGGCAGGGACAGGUGUUAUAGUCAGGACUCAGAGAAGUUAGGGAGCUGGCCCCGGGCUGCAUAGCAGGCCAAGGACUCCACCCGCAACAGCUUCAGCGAGAUUCAGGCUCGAGUGGAGAGCAGCUGGUCUGCCGGGCGGAGGGGCCUCUCCCCUCACUCACUCUCGAUCCCCAUCGCUGGCCCUCACGGACCCUGGUCCUUGCCCACCUCCCCCUUCCAGCCCUCGCUGCGGCGAACUCAGCCUGGGCUACACCUCCAAAACUAGAGCGUGGAGCCGAGAAAAUCAGGCUAAACCCCCAGGGAUCUCUGUCGAGGCGGGAUUGUAGGCCGGCUCUCCUCUGGCCAGGCUUCUCCGCGCUCUCCUCACCACCCGGGGUCUCCCUCGGCUCCUGCCCCAGGCCUUCACCUUCCCGACUUCUGUCUCUGUCCAGGCUUCUGUGCAUCCUUCUCCCUGGCUUCUUACUACCUCCGACCCUGACCACCCUGAUUGCCCGUUCCCUACUGCCUGGCUGAGCCACUUUCUCUGACUCUGCAUCGGGUCUCUCUGUCUCUCCCCAUGAAGCUGCACCUCCCACCCCCGCGAAGGAACACACACCGGCAGAAUCCGCCUUUUCAAUAAAAAACUACAACUGGGAAACAGUGAA